rnacentral:rRNA from 1 species
GAUGAACGCUGGCGGCGUGCUUAACACAUGCAAGUCGAACGAAGCGUAUUCAAGUGAAGUUUUCGGACAAAGCGAGGAUAUGACUUAGUGGCGGACGGGUGAGUAACGCGUGGGCAACCUGCCUUUCACAGCGGGAUAACAGAGGGAAGCUUCUGCUAAUACCGCAUAUACCUUUAUAACGCAUGUUAGGGAGGGGAAAGAAUUAUCGGUGAGAGAUGGGCCCGCGUCCGAUUAGAUAGUUGGUGGGGUAACAGCCUACCAAGUCGACGAUCGGUAGCCGGCUUGAGAGAGUGAACGGCCACAUUGGGACUGAGACACGGCCCAAACUCCUACGGGAGGCAGCAGUGGGGGAUAUUGGACAAUGGGGGCAACCCUGAUCCAGCGACGCCGCGUGAGUGAAGAAGUAUUUCGGUACGUAAAGCUCUAUCAGCAGGGAAGAAAGAAGACGGUACCUGACUAAGAAGCCCCGGCUAACUACGUGCCAGCAGCCGCGGUAAUACGUAGGGGGCAAGCGUUAUCCGGAAUUACUGGGUGUAAAGGGAGCGUAGACGGUUAAACAAGUCUGAAGUGAAAUGCCGGGGCUCAACCUCGGAGCUGCUUUGGAAACUGUAGAACUGGAGUGUCGGAGGGGUAAGCGGAAUUCCCAGUGUAGCGGUGAAAUGCGUAGAUAUUGGGAGGAACACCGGCGGCGAAGGCGGCUUACUGGACGACGACUGACGUUGAGGCUCGAAGGCGUGGGUAGCAAACAGG